rnacentral:tRNA from 23 species
GGGGGUGUAGCUCAGCUGGGAGAGCACCUGCCUUGCAAGCAGGGGGUCAGGAGUUCGAUCCUCCUCAUCUCCACCA